UCAUGCCCGGCUGACGUCACCGAAGCCACGCCUCCAGGAAUGUCUUUAAAGGGGCCUGGCUGGCCCUGGGAGAGAAGGGAAGGGAAGUCCUGAGAGGUUUGGGAGCAUCGUGAAGCCCUCUGGACUAACUGGCACCCCCGCCAGGUCCUCCCAAGUUUGAGGGUCUCAAAAUGCAAGUGCCCCCAGGGCUAGACCCAAGGGAUCGCUGAACCCGGAUCAGACUUGGGGAUGGUUUUUGCUCUGAGCCAUUCCCGACUCUCACCCUUUGCUGAAGGACUUGACUGAAAUGGGCAGUGGGGCCAAGAAGCAGGUGCAUCUUAGCAGCAUGCCUAGGAGGGGAGUUCCUACCCCAAUGCCCUUCAUCCUGGGACCUCAGAAGAGUGUGCCCAACUUCCAGGGGGUCUGGGAGAGCAUCUCUGCUCACUCAACCAGAAGAAUAUCCUAAUCUAAGAGCAACCACCUCUAGGAAGAGUCAGAUAUGCGUUAUCUCAUUUCUUGCCUGGGAGGCAGGUAUCAUUAUCCCCAUUUUACAGAAAAGGAAACAGGCUCCAAGCAGCAUGCCCAAAGGUUGCACAGCUCAAAGCAGCCACACGGGGCUACUCUGGUACCCAGGUCCUCCCUGGAAGAUGUGGACACCUUGGCCUUCCAGCCUGGGCACCUGCCCCGGGCAAGUGGAUCCAGACAUCUCCCCUGGAGUCGGGGGAGGGUUAAUUACAGGCGCUGGGGCAUUGUGAUUAAAGCCUUUGACCAAGA